rnacentral:rRNA from 1 species
CGCCAGACUCCUACGGGAGGCAGCAGUGGGGAAUAUUGCGCAAUGGGGGAAACCCUGAUGCAGCGACGCCGCGUGAGUGAAGAAGUAUUUCGGUAUGUAAAGCUCUAUCAGCAGGGAAGAAAAUGACGGUACCUGAUUAAGAAGCCCCGGCUAACUACGUGCCAGCAGCCGCGGUAAUACGUAGGGGGCAAGCGUUAUCCGGAUUUACUGGGUGUAAAGGGAGCGUAGACGGUGAUGCAAGUCAGAAGUGAAAGCCCGGGGCUCAACUCCGGGACUGCUUUUGAAACUGUGUGACUGGAGUGCAGGAGAGGUAAGCGGAAUUCCUGGUGUAGCGGUGAAAUGCGUAGAUAUCAGGAGGAACACCAGUGGCGAAGGCAGCUUACUGGACUGUAACUGACGUUGAGGCUCGAAAGCGUGGGGAGCAAACAGGAUUAGAUACCCUUGUAC